GGCCGACUAGCUCAGUUGGUUAGAGCGUCGUGCUAAUAUGAGGUGAUUCAUACCGAGUAACGCGAAGGUCUUGGGUUCGAUCCCCACGUUGGCCA
rnacentral:tRNA from 1 species